rnacentral:rRNA from 1 species
UUCUCGAUGUGCAGAGUCAUUAAUGGAUGCUACCUGGUUGAUCCUGCCAGUAGUCA